GACGAACGCUGGCGGCGUGCUUAACACAUGCAAGUCGAGCGGUAAGGCCCUUUCGGGGGUACGACGAGCGGCGAACGGGUGAGUAACACGUGGGUGACCUGCCCUCAGCUCUGGGAUAAGCCGUGGGAAACCGGGUCUAAUACUGGAUAUGACUCCAUGACGCAUGUUGUGGGGUGGAAAGCCUUGUGCGGCUGAGGAUGGGCCCGCGGCCU
rnacentral:rRNA from 1 species